rnacentral:rRNA from 1 species
GACGAACGCUGGCGGCGUGCUUAACACAUGCAAGUCGAACGGAAAGGCCCUGCUUUUGUGGGGUGCUCGAGUGGCGAACGGGUGAGUAACACGUGAGUAACCUGCCCUUGACUGUGGGAUAACUUCAGGAAACUGGGGCUAAUACCGGAUAGGAGCUCCUGCUGCAUGGUGGGGGUUGGAAAGUUUCGGCGGUUGGGGAUGGACUCGCGGCUUAUCAGCUUGUUGGUGGGGUAGUGGCUUACCAAGGCUUUGACGGGUAGCCGGCCUGAGAGGGUGACCGGCCACAGUGGGACUGAGGUACGGCCCAGACUCCUACGGGAGGCAGGAGUGGGGAAUAUUGCACAAUGGGCGGAGGCCUGAUGCAGCAACGCCGCGUGCGGGAUGACGGCCUUCGGGUUGUAAACCGCUUUCGCCUGUGACGAAGCGUGAGUGACGGUAAUGGGUAAAGAAGCACCGGCUAACUACGU